GACGAACGCUGGCGGCGUGCUUAACACAUGCAAGUCGAACGGAAAGGCCCCUUUGGGGGUCCUCGAGUGGCGUACGGGGGAGUAACACGUCCGUAACCUGCCCUUGACUUCGGGAUAGCUUCAGGAAACUGGGGCUAAUACCGGGUAGGAAUCCUUGCUGCAUGGUGGGGGUUGGAAAGCUUCGGCGGUUUUGGAUGGACUCGCGGCUGAUCAGCUUGUUGGUGGGGUAGUGGCUUACGAAGGCUUUGACGGGUAGCCGGCCUGGGAGGGCGACCGGCCACAUUGAGACUGAGAGAGGGCCCAGACUCCGACGGGUGGCAGCGGUGGGGAAGAUUGCACAAGGGGCGGAGGCCUGAGGCAGAAACGCCGCGGGCGGGAUGACGGUCUUCGGGUUGGAGACCGAAUGCAGCAGGGGCGAAGCUUGUGGUGACGGUACCUGCAGAAGAAGCACCGGCUAACUACGUG
rnacentral:rRNA from 1 species